rnacentral:rRNA from 1 species
ACGAACGCUGGCGGCGUGCUUAACACAUGCAAGUCGAACGGAAAGGCCCUGCUUUUGUGGGGUGCUCGGGUGGCGAACGGGUGAGUAACACGUGAGUAACCUGCCCUGGACUUUGGGAUAACUUCAGGAAACUGGGGCUAAUACCGGAUAGGAGCUCCUGCUGCAUGGUGGGGGUUGGAAAGUUUCGGCGGUUGGGGAUGGACUCGCGGCUUAUCAGCUUGUUGGUGGGGUAGUGGCUUACCAAGGCUUUGACGGGUAGCCGGCCUGAGAGGGUGACCGGCCACAUUGGGACUGAGAUACGGCCCAGACUCCUACGGGAGGCAGCAGUGGGGAAUAUUGCACAAUGGGCGGAAGCCUGAUGCAGCAACGCCGCGUGCGGGAUGACGGCCUUCGGGUUGUAAACCGCUUUCGCCUGUGACGAAGCGUGAGUGACGGUAAUGGGUAAAGAAGCACCGGCUAACUACGUG